GGCUUCGUGGUUCAGCUGGUGGAGCACUUACCGCGUUGAGGCAUGGUGUUUCUGUCGUUGGUUCGAAUCCAGCCGAAGCCC
rnacentral:tRNA from 1 species